GGGAGGUUGCGGCCGCCGCAAACCCAGCUUGAACGAGGAUUGUUGUCGCGCCCAUCCAUAAAACCCUAGCCGCGGGACCGCCUCGCCCUUCAAUACGCCACAACGAAACCCUAGAGCCUUGAACCAGGAAAGGACCGAGAGUGCGUGAGUGUUACACUGCCCGCGCCAUCGUGAGAUCCUCGGUCUACACCGUCGUGUAGGCGAGGACGACGGUACUGGGGCUUUGUCAUUGCGUGGGGGAUCUACACGUAGCAUAAUGACCGGAGCCUCGACCAAAUCCGACCAGAAUUGCUCACCGGAGCGGUUCGGGCGCCGCGCAUCUGCCCUUCAUCGUGGCGGGAGCGCGUCACUGCAUGGAUUUUGUGACUGAGGAAGCCGGAACACAGCAGGUGGAAA
rnacentral:lncRNA from 7 species